CGUUAUCCGGAAUUAUUGGGCGUAAAGGGCUCGUAGGCGGUUCGUCGCGUCCGGUGUGAAAGUCCAUCGCUUAACGGUGGAUCCGCGCCGGGUACGGGCGGGCUUGAGUGCGGUAGGGGAGACUGGAAUUCCCGGUGUAACGGUGGAAUGUGUAGAUAUCGGGAAGAACACCAAUGGCGAAGGCAGGUCUCUGGGCCGUUACUGACGCUGAGGAGCGAAAGCGUGGGGAGCGAACAGGAUUAGAUACCCUGGUAGUCCACGCCGUAAACGGUGGAUGCUGGAUGUGGGGCCCGUUCCACGGGUUCCGUGUCGGAGCUAACGCGUUAAGCAUCCCGCCUGGGGAGUACGGCCGCAAGGCUAAAACUCAAAGAAAUUGACGGGGGCCCGCACAAGCGGCGGAGCAUGCGGAUUAAUUCGAUGCAACGCGAAGAACCUUACCUGGGCUUGACAUGUUCCCGACGGUCGUAGAGAUACGGCUUCCCUUCGGGGCGGGUUCACAGGUGGUGCAUGGUCGUCGUCAGCUCGUGUCGUGAGAUGUUGGGUUAAGUCCCGCAACGAGCGCAACCCUCGCCCCGUGUUGCCAGCGGAUUAUGCCGGGAACUCACGGGGGACCGCCGGGGUUAACUCGGAGGAAGGUGGGGAUGACGUCAGAUCAUCAUGCCCCUUACGUCCAGGGCUUCACGCAUGCUACAAUGGCCGGUACAACGGGAUGCGACGCGNCGACGCGGAGCGGAUCCCUGAAAACGGGUCUCAGUUCGGAUCGCAGUCUGCAACUCGACUGCGUGAAGGCGGAGUCGCUAGUAAUCGCGAAUCAGCAACGUCGCGGUGAAUGCGUUCCCGGGGCUUGUACACACCGCCCGUCCCGUCAUGAGAGGCGUAGCACUCGAGGCAGGGAGCUAACUACGUUGAGCAUGUAGUUGGCUACUGUGAGGGUCGUGAUUGCAUUAAGUCAUACCAGGUAGCACUACUGCAUGCUGCGAGGA
rnacentral:rRNA from 1 species